CACUCUUCAGUUGCUGAUUUGGCAUGCUUGGAUGAAAUAACUUUGCAAGAUACUCCUAUAAGUCUUUCUGAAGAUACCAGGGGUAGGGCUUUGGUGGCUAGCCCAAAUAAGCCACCGGUUCACAAAUGAGAGCUAUAUGUUGGAACUGUCAGGGGUUGGGCACACCACUGACAGUUCAGAAUUUGAGAGCCAUGGUGGCUUAGGAAAGGCCC
rnacentral:lncRNA from 1 species